rnacentral:rRNA from 1 species
UAUGCACGCUGGCGGCGUGCCUAAUACAUGCAAGUCGAGCGAACGGACGAGAAGCUUGCUUUUCUGAUGUUAGCGGCGGACGGGUGAGUAACACGUGGAUAACCUACCUAUAAGACUGGGAUAACUUCGGGAAACCGGAGCUAAUACCGGAUAAUAUUUUGAACCGCAUGGUUCAAAAGUGAAAGACGGUCUUGCUGUCACUUAUAGAUGGAUCCGCGCUGCAUUAGCUAGUUGGUAAGGUAACGGCUUACCAAGGCAACGAUGCAUAGCCGACCUGAGAGGGUGAGCGGCCACACUGGAACUGAGACACGGUCCAGACUCCUACGGGAGGCAGCAGUAGGGAAUCUUCCGCAAUGGGCGAAAGCCUGACGGAGCAACGCCGCGUGAGUGAUGAAGGUCUUCGGCUCGUAAAACUCUGUUAUUAGGGAAGAACAUAUGUGUAAGUAACUGUGCACAUCUUGACGGUACCUAAUCAGAAAGCCACGGCUAACUACGUG